AUGGCCGCCGUACCGGCCGUCCUCCUCAUCCUGCUCCUCCUCGUCGCCACAGAGAUGGGGACGACGAAGACCGCGGAGGCCCGGACGUGCGAGUCGCAGAGCCACAAGUUCAAGGGCCCCUGCUUCAGCGACAGCAACUGCGCAACCGUGUGCCGCACCGAGAACUUUCCCCGCGGCCAGUGCAACACGCACCACGUCGAGCGCAAGUGCUACUGCGAGCGGGACUGCUGA
rnacentral:rRNA from 1 species